CGCUUGUCGCUCUCUUCCGGAGUCCCCGCUCGAUCAACACCCUCCCUGUGAUCCGAAACCCAACAAAUCCUCGCGACGCGACGCCCUUAUCGCCUCUCCCCUCCCCGGGACCACGCCCGCUUCUCCUGGUACCAUCUGCGAGCACUCCAAGCUCCGCAAGCGCCUGUCCAUCCUGCUCUGUCUUUGCUGCCUCCCUGGUGACAACUGCCGCCCGAUUACUGGCCAAAGAUCGACUUUUGGAGCUGCCUGGCGUCAAAGCUCGGGAAAUCCGUGGGCUUUGCCUCUGGAAAUGAGCGAAGGUGGUGUUUUCUUGGUGGAUUUUUAGUUUUGCAGCGAUUUUAUUUCUCCUCACCCGGAAAAGUUCGGAUCUUCGGAUGCCUUUUGUUAUAUGGGAAUGGGUUCUGUGCCAAAUUUAGCAUCUUGCUUUCCAGUGGCAUUCGUUGCAACUCCCCACGUCUCUUUUUUUGGGCCGCUUGGACCCUAUCUCAAAUCCACAGAAAUACCUCUCUCCUCACGAGGUCAGAUGUGGUUCUGGUGCCUGUUUAUGGUGUGAGCGAGUUGAUAUCAGAGAUUGAGAUAUUUGUUGUUGAUUUGGGCCGCUUCGGGGAGCAGAGAUAUCGAAAAGAGUGUACUGAAGGAGUUGAGAUUCCAUGGCGUCGGAAAUGGUGAGUGAGGAGACGAAGAAAGGGAGUAUGUGGGUUUUGGAUCAAAACCUCGAUCAGCCGAUGGAGGAAGAGGCUGGUAGGCUUAAAAAUAUGUACAGAGAAAAGAAAUUCUCAUUGGUUUUAGUUUUAAGGCUCGCAUUUCAGAGCCUAGGUGUGGUAUUUGGAGACCUGGGCACAUCACCGCUAUAUGUUUUUUGCAAUACAUUUCCUAAAGGGGUAAAAGAUCCAGAAGAUGUUAUUGGAGCUCUUUCUUUGAUCAUAUACUCCUUAACUCUCAUCCCACUCCUUAAAUAUGUCUUCGUAGUGUUGAGAGCAAAUGACAAUGGUCAAGGUGGUACAUUUGCUCUAUACUCACUACUUCGCCGCCAUGCGAAGAUAAAUACUAUUCCCAACCAACAUAGAACAGAUGAAGAACUAACAACAUAUAGUCGUCAGACAUAUGAUGAGAAUUCCCUAGCAGCGAAAAUCAAGAGAUGGUUAGAGGCACAUUCUUAUAAAAAGAAUGCUCUUCUUAUUCUUGUUCUUGUUGGCACAUGUAUGGCAAUUGGAGAUGGGAUACUUACUCCAGCUAUAUCAGUUCUUUCAGCAUCAGGUGGAAUAAAGAUUGACCAUCCCAAGAUGAGUAAUGAUGUGGUUAUACUUGUUGCUGUGGUCAUAUUAGUUGGUUUAUUUAGCAUGCAGCACUAUGGUACAGACAAGGUUGGAUGGCUUUUCGCUCCCAUAGUCCUCCUCUGGUUUAUACUAAUUGGUGCUAUUGGUGCUCUGAACAUAUGGAAAUAUGAUAGUUCUGUUCUCAGGGCUUACAAUCCAGUUUAUAUAUAUCGGUAUUUUAGACGAGGGAAGGCUAAUAGUUGGACGUCUCUUGGAGGAAUUCUGCUUAGUAUCACAGGGACAGAAGCAUUAUUUGCUGAUCUGUGUCAUUUUCCUGUCCUAGCUGUUCAGAUAGCUUUCACUCUCAUUGUGUUCCCUUGUCUUCUUCUGGCAUACACUGGACAAGCUGCUUACAUAGUUAGCAACGGAGGGCAUGUGUUAGAUGCUUUUUAUCGUUCUAUUCCAGGUAUUAUAUACUGGCCAACUUUUGUUGUUGCAACAGCAGCAGCAGUGGUUGCUAGUCAAGCCACCAUAUCUGCAACAUUUUCAAUAAUCAAACAAGCUCUUGCACUUGGCUGUUUUCCAAGGGUCAAAGUUGUUCAUACAUCAAAAAAGUUCCUAGGUCAGAUAUACAUUCCAGAUAUUAAUUGGAUCCUUAUGGUUCUUUGCAUAGCUGUUACGGCUGGAUUCAAAAAUCGAAGUCAGAUUGGAAAUGCAUAUGGAACUGCUGUGGUGAUAGUUAUGCUGGUGACAACAUUUCUUAUGGUUCCAAUAAUGCUGUUGGUAUGGCGGAGCCACUGGAUCCUUGUUGCCAUCUUCACUGGUCUUUCCUUGCUGGUGGAGCUGCCAUACUUUUCUGCAGUGCUCUUCAAGAUAGACCAAGGUGGUUGGGUUCCACUGGUCAUUGCUGCUGCCUUCCUCCUCCUCAUGUAUGCAUGGCACUAUGGUACUGUGAAGCGGUAUGAGUUUGAGAUGCACAGUAGGGUCUCAAUGGCCUGGAUCUUAGGCCUUGGCCCCAGCCUUGGCUUGGUCCGGGUUCCUGGGAUAGGCUUUGUGUACACAGAGCUGGCAAGUGGUGUUCCUCACAUCUUCUCGCACUUCAUCACCAACCUCCCUGCCAUCCACUCUGUUGUCGUCUUCGUGUGCGUCAAAUACCUCCCAGUCUACAUGGUGCCCCUAGAAGAACGGUUUCUUGUAAAGAGGAUAGGCCCGAAGAAUUUCCACAUGUUCCGCUGUGUUGCAAGGUUUGGAUAUAAAGAUCUCCACAAAAAAGACGAUGAUUUUGAGAAGAUGCUUUUUGAUAGCAUCUCUCUCUUUGUUCGUCUUGAAAGUAUGAUGGAAGGUUACUCUGAUUCUGAUGAGUACAGCUUAUGCGGGCAGCAGACUGAGAAAUCUGCUGAUUUCCUUUUUACUGAGAAUGACAAUGCCAACACAGUCUCCUCCAACAUAGAUCUAAGUUACUCGUCAUAUCAUGAUUCUAUAAUACCUUCCCAAUCCCCAGUCAGGGGAAACAGUUUGGUAAGGUCAUCAGGCCAGACAGUGGGGGAAGAAUUGGAUUUCUUGAACAGGUGCAAGGAUGCUGGUGUGGUCCACAUUUUUGGGAACACAAUUUUGAGGGCUCGAAGGGGAUCGGGACUUAUUAAAAAGAUCGCUGUUGAUUACAUUUAUGCAUUCCUUCAGAAAAUCUGCAGGGAAAACAGCGUGAUCUUUAAUGUUCCCCAUGAGAAUCUAUUGAAUGUGGGACAGAUAUUCUAUGUAUAGUUUAUUUGAUCAAAAGAAGGUGGUUAGCUGCACCUGCUGUCAUGAACUCUCUUUUCCCAAAACUUUUUUUUGAAUGUGGUAUCUUUACAAGAUGAAUAUAAAGGCACUUGGCUGAGCACCAUGUAGUUGUUUUUUCCCCGCUAUUCAUCGUACAAGGAAGAAAGUGCUCUCCCCAAGUGCCUUGCUGGUUUGGACUAAUUGUAAGAUAUGCUAUGUUUGGAUAUGUAUUGGUUAAAUGAGUAAAAAGCAUUGGGUUUUGUGGCUC